rnacentral:rRNA from 1 species
GAUGAACGCUGGCGGCGUGCUUAACACAUGCAAGUCGAACGGAAAGGCCCAAGCUUGCUUGGGUACUCGAGUGGCGAACGGGUGAGUAACACGUGGGUGAUCUGCCCUGCACUUCGGGAUAAGCCUGGGAAACUGGGUCUAAUACCGGAUAGGACCACUUCUUGGAUGUUGUGGUGGAAAGUUUUUUCGGUGUGGGAUGAGCUCGCGGCCUAUCAGCUUGUUGGUGGGGUAAUGGCCUACCAAGGCGUCGACGGGGAGCCGGCCUGAGAGGGUGUACGGCCACAUUGGGACUGAGAUACGGCCCAGACUCCUACGGGAGGCAGCAGUGGGGAAUAUUGCACAAUGGGCGCAAGCCUGAUGCAGCGACGCCGCGUGGGGGAUGACGGCCUUCGGGUUGUAAACUCCUUUCGCUAGGGACGAAGCGUUUUGUGACGGUACCUGGAGAAGAAGCACCGGCUAACUACGUG